GUAUAUGGAGCUCAGAAGACAGGAAGGAGUUAAUGGGCUACUGAAGGCCAAUUAGCUCAAAUUAAGAGACCUACACCAGGAAACGGUUCUAGGGAGAGGCUUAAAGAGAAAAACCCUAUUCAGCUGGAAGGAGCAGAUGUGAAGCUCUCACUGUGGGAGAGAAGGCUGGCCAGAGCCAGGACCAGGGCCAGAGUGGUACCAGCAGGUAUCCCAGAGGAAUGUGAAGAGUUUAUAUUGCUUCAUACGUCCUAGAAGGGAUAGAACUGUAAAGGAAAGCCUGAGAGCUAUGUCUCUGCAACUCAGAAGGUGUUGGAAGGUGGGCAGAGCUGUGGAAGACCAUCUUGGAAACUGAGGCUAAAUGAUUGAUGGAAGAAGGUGCUCCAUGAUAUUUCCUACGACUCCUGUGAAAUGCUAAGAAUACUCCACUGCUUUUGAAGACAAUGGAACGUCAGAGGAAGUUGAGACAUUCACAGUCUGUGGGGUGAAAUCCUGGUCCUACUGAAGUCAGAGAGAGUUUCGCCAUUGACUACAACACAACAAGGAUUUUAACCC